GGAGUUGUAGGAGUGUGGAUGUUACUCUAAGAUCCCAGCUGACCUUCAGCUAUGAAGUUCUUUUACCGUCUGCUUGUUGCUCUCCUUUGGAUUGUCCUGGCCGCUCCAGGCAAAGGCAUGAAUCGUGAUGCUGUCAGCUGCAGAAACAGAGACGGGGUGUGCCGGUUUAACAGCUGCUAUUACAACGAAAUUGAGAUUGCCACCUGCUAUCAUCACACAAUGAAAUGCUGCAGAGGGAGGGAUUAGGAGGUGUCAAGGACUCUGACAGCUGGAGAGCUGACCUGAGACUGGUGAUGCAGCGAGAUCUGCACCCUUCAACCCACAUUAAACACAAACUGGUGCAAAAUCACACCUCUAUAAUAAAAACAUAUGAAUCCUUA